UACCAGCUCUUCGAGUGGUGUGGAUGUUUAUUGGGCCUAAAGCAUCCGUAGCUGGCUGGGCAAGUCCCCUGUUAAAUCCACCGAUUUAAUCGUUGGAGUGCGGGGGAUACUGUUCGGCUAGGGGACGGGAGAGGCGGACGGUAUUUUCGGGGUAGGGGUGAAAUCCUAUAAUCCCGGGAAGGCCACCAGUGGCGAAGGCUGUCUGCUAGAACGCGCCCGACGGUGAGGGAUGAAAGCUGGGGGAGCGAACCGGAUUAGAUACCCGGGUAGUCCCAGCUGUAAACGAUGCAGGCUAGGUGUUUGGGCGGCCACGUGCCGCUCUAGUGCCGCAGGGAAGCCGUUAAGCCUGCCGCCUGGGGAGUACGGCCGCAAGGCUGAAACUUAAAGGAAUUGGCGGGGGAGCACCACAAGGGGUGAAGCUUGCGGUUU
rnacentral:rRNA from 1 species